rnacentral:rRNA from 1 species
AACGAACGCUGGCGGCAGGCUUAACACAUGCAAGUCGAACGCCCCGCAAGGGGAGUGGCAGACGGGUGAGUAACGCGUGGGAAUCUACCCAGUUCUGCGGAACAACAGUUGGAAACGACUGCUAAUACCGCAUACGCCCUACGGGGGAAAGAUUUAUCGGAAUUGGAUGAGCCCGCGUUGGAUUAGCUAGUUGGUGAGGUAAUGGCUCACCAAGGCGACGAUCCAUAGCUGGUCUGAGAGGAUGAUCAGCCACACUGGGACUGAGACACGGCCCAGACUCCUACGGGAGGCAGCAGUGGGGAAUAUUGGACAAUGGGCGAAAGCCUGAUCCAGCAAUGCCGCGUGAGUGAUGAAGGCCUUAGGGUUGUAAAGCUCUUUUACCCGGGAUGAUAAUGACAGUACCGGGAGAAUAAGCCCCGGCUAACUCCGUGCCAGCCGCCGCUGUAAAAC